rnacentral:rRNA from 1 species
GGGUCAGUAGGUUGGUCGUGCCACCGGUACGUACUGGUCUCACUGAUUCCUCCUUCCUGAAGAACCGUAAUGCCAUUAAUUUGGUGUUGCGGGGAAACAGGACUGUUACUUUGAAAAAAAUUAGAGUGUUUAAAGCAAGCUAACGCUUGAAUACAUUAGCAUGGAAUAAUGAAAUAGGACGAUCGAUCCUAUUUUGUUGGUUUCUAGGAUUGACGUA